rnacentral:rRNA from 1 species
UACGAGGGGGGCAAGCGUUGUUCGGAAUUAUUGGGCGUAAAGGGUGCGUAGGCGGCGCGGUAAGUCGGGUGUGAAAUCUCGGAGCUUAACUCCGAAACUGCAUUCGAUACUGCCGUGCUUGAGGACUGGAGAGAAGACUGGAAUUUACGGUGUAGCGGUGAAAUGCGUAGAUAUCGUAAGGAAGACCAGUGGCGAAGGCGGGUCUCUGGACAGUUCCUGACGCUGAGGCACGAAGGUCAGGGGAGCAAACGGG